GACCUCAAAUCAGGUAGGACUACCCGCUGAACUUAAGCAUAUCAAUAAGCGGAGGAAAAGAAACUAACAAGGAUUCCCCUAGUAACUGCGAGUGAAGCGGGAAAAGCUCAAAUUUAAAAUCUGGUGGUCUUUGGCCAUCCGAGUUGUAAUCUAGAGAAGUGUUACCCGCGUCGGACCGUGUAUAAGUCUCCCGGAAUGGAGCGUCAUAGAGGGUGAGAAUCCCGUCUUUGACACGGACUACCGAGGCUUUGUGGUGCGCUCUCAAAGAGUCGAGUUGUUUGGGAAUGCGGCUCAAAAUGGGUGGUAAAUUCCAUCUAAAGCUAAAUAUUGGCGAGAGACCGAUAGCGAACAAGUACCGUGAGGGAAAGAUGAAAAGAACUUUGGAAAGAGAGUUAAACAGUACGUGAAAUUGCUGAAAGGGAAACGCUUGAAGUCAGUCGCGUUGGCCGGAAAUCAGCCUUGCUUUAGUGAGGUGUACUUUCUGGUUGACGGGCCAGCAUCAGUUUUGACCGGUGGAAAAAGCGAAAGAANGUGGCAUCUUCGGGUGUGUUAUAGCCUCU
rnacentral:rRNA from 1 species